CCUACGGGUGGCUGCAGUAAGGAAUAUUGGUCAAUGGACGCAAGUCUGAACCAGCCAUGCCGCGUGGAGGAUGAAGGUCCUCUGGAUUGUAAACUUCUUUUAUUUGGGAAGAAACUCCCGAUUUCCAUCGGGAUUGACGGUACCAGAUGAAUAAGAACCGGCUAACUCCGUGCCAGCAGCCGCGGUAAUACGGAGGGUGCAAGCGUACUCGGGAUACAGGGUGUUUAGGUGGGCAGGUAAUGCACUGGUGAAAGCUCCGGGCUUAACCCGGAAACUGCCAUUGAUACUAUUUGUCUUGAAUACUCUGGAGGUGAGCGGAAUAUGUCAUGUAGCGGUGAAAUGCUUAGAUAUGACAUAGAACACCCAUUGCGAAGGCAGCUCACUACGGAAAUAUUGACGCUGAGGCACGAAAGCGUGGGGAUCAAACAGGAUUAGAUACCCCGGUAGUC
rnacentral:rRNA from 1 species